GACAUGGGCGGGGUGCUAUACUGCAGUCGAGCGAACCAGAAGGGAGCUUGCUCCCGGAGGUUAGCGGCGGACGGGUGAGUAACACGUGGGUAACCUGCCUGUAAGAUUGGGAUAACUCCGGGAAACCGGAGCUAAUACCGGAUAACAUUUCGAACCGCAUGGUUCGAAAUUGAAAGAUGGUUUCGGCUAUCACUUACAGAUGGACCCGCGGCGCAUUAGCUAGUUGGUGAGGUAACGGCUCACCAAGGCGACGAUGCGUAGCCGACCUGAGAGGGUGAUCGGCCACACUGGGACUGAGACACGGCCCAGACUCCUACGGGAGGCAGCAGUAGGGAAUCUUCCGCAAUGGACGAAAGUCUGACGGAGCAACGCCGCGUGAACGAUGAAGGCCUUCGGGUCGUAAAGUUCUGUUGUUAGGGAAGAACAAGUACCAGAGUAACUGCUGGUACCUUGACGGUACCUAACCAGAAAGCCACGGCUAACUACGUGCCAGCAGCCGCGGUAAUACGUAGGUGGCAAGCGUUGUCCGGAAUUAUUGGGCGUAAAGCGCGCGCAGGCGGUUUCUUAAGUCUGAUGUGAAAGCCCACGGCUCAACCGUGGAGGGUCAUUGGAAACUGGGGAACUUGAGUGCAGAAGAGGAGAGUGGAAUUCCACGUGUAGCGGUGAAAUGCGUAGAGAUGUGGAGGAACACCAGUGGCGAAGGCGACUCUCUGGUCUGUAACUGACGCUGAGGCGCGAAAGCGUGGGGAGCGAACAGGAUUAGAUACCCUGGUAGUCCACGCCGUAAACGAUGAGUGCUAAGUGUUAGAGGGUUUCCGCCCUUUAGUGCUGCAGCAAACGCAUUAAGCACUCCGCCUGGGGAGUACGGUCGCAAGACUGAAACUCAAAGGAAUUGACGGGGGCCCGCACAAGCGGUU
rnacentral:rRNA from 1 species